GACCUAUACUGCAGCUGACCAGUAGGGGUUUGGUGGUGAUCUGAUGCAUCAAGUACUGAUACCAACUGAAAAAAACACAGCUACAGAAGAAGUCAGCAGGGAGUCUAAAUAUUUCUCUUCAGCUUUUGGAGCAGCUGUGUAAAUCUUGGAAGUUUUCUACAUAAAGGAUAAUGGGAACAAAGCAGAGGACAAAGCAGAGGACUGUAAAACUGAGCUGCAGUGAUACUUUCAGAUGACAUCAUUACCUACAGGAUCUUAGACUGCUGGAGGAUACUUAAAAGCAGAGAAGACAACAUUUUAGUAACAUCACUCAACAUGCAAAGAUGCAAACAUCACCUACCUCUGCUCCUGCGGGGAGUGGAGGGGCCAGUAAGAGCUAUCCCAGCAAUGAAGACAACCAGGAGAAGGACCAGAAAGCAGUGAGGGUGUUGCUGCCUCCCCAUCAUCAAGUCUGUUUUGGGUCUCAGUUAUAAUGGUGAUCUGAAUGAACUCAGAGAUCUCACGAUGUGGAGCGUGGUGCAGGAUUAAGAAGCUGUCACUCAGGAGUGAUUGAGUAAAUCUGUGCUAACAAGUUGAGUUUACUUUGUGCUGCAGCUGCAUGGAUGUAGGAUCUGUUAUAAUGCUGGAGUGGCUGGACUACUUCUCUGAGCUGUUGGCUCUCAGGACUAGUGCAGCUCACUGGACUGGACUUCUGGAUGCUCCUGCACCAUCUAUACCUCUAGUAUGGAGGGAGGGGACAGACACAGCUGGACACACCCACUCCCAUUACCCUCCCUGCUCCCCCCAUUUCUCUCUCUCUCUCCGCUCUGAAAAGGAGUGCUAGUUUUCUCCAAGUCUCCUGCCUCAACCCCCACCUCUGUCUCUCUUCUGUUUUUUCUGUUUCAUUUUUUUCUCAGCUUUUUUUCUGCUGAGGUCUUAGUGAUUCUAUUUUCCAUUUGCAGGAGCGUUUUGACAAUUUUCAUUGUUCUCAUAGUCCUUUGCUGUCCCCCUUCUCCUAUCUCAUUUUCUAAGCUUGUCUCACACUGAGUAUGAUUUCAUGCACUCCAGGGACUUUUGUUUUAUUACUCUAGUCACAUUCAUGUGAAAGUUUGCAAAUCUAGUUCUUCAUAGUCAUGAAUCUAACAGUACUCAGGUCUAUCAUUGUGUGUGCACUAACAAUAUCUACAUGCAUAUUCAUAUUGGUGCAUGACUUUGACUUUCAUUGCAGAGUUUCUCACUUUAAACACUGGAAUGAUUUUGGACUGGUCUAAAUUAUGAAUACUUUGUUGUUUUAUAAACCCUCAUGGCAUCUGAGAUCACAAUGCAACAAACAAAUACAACAAAACUAUUGAACUCCCUAACCUACCCAGGCUGAUGCAAGUCUUGGAACAUUUUCAUCUGCAUCUGAAGUAUCUUUGAACUGUUCCUUCUACCAGUUUUCAUCCCUCCUUUGUAUUAUUCGUAUUUUUUAUAUAUAGUAAUGUUCCUAUUUAGGCAGCCAGUGUUAACAUGUUAAUCUCAACGGGAUUAACGUUCAUUUUCAAUCGCUUCACCUUUUUUUAAAAAUUAUUUAUGGGCAUUUUUGCCUUUAUUUGAUAGGACAACUGAAGGGAGACAGGAAAUGUGUGAAGUACAGAACGGGGGAAGACGUGCAGUAAAUGGUCAAGGCCAGGAGCCAAACCUGCGCCCGCUGCGACGAGGACUAUAGCCACUGUAUCUAGGGUGUGCUUAGACCGCUAGGCCAACGGCGCCCCCAGCUUGCCUUUUUUGUCCCUUUCAAUCCACUAUUAAGAUUAGAUUAGAUUAGAUAAGAUUAGAUUGGAUUAGAUUAGAUUAUAUUAGAGAACUUUAUUGAUCCCCUGUGGGGGAAAUUCAUAUGCCACAAGGGCCUGUUCACGGAAUCAACAAACAAUAAGACAGUACAGUCACAAAAACACAACAAAUAAACAAAUAACACAGUCACACCAUUUGAGGACUAAUUAACAGCUAUGGGUCAGAUUCAUGGCUACAAGUGUUCAUUAGAAAAUCUUCUGUGGAGCACUGCGACAUCACCAGUCGCUCACUGAAGGAGCUUCUCAGUCCAUUAAAAACACUGUGCAGGGGAUUGCCUUCAAAGAUUAGGACAGUUUUCAAUUUAUUCCUAGUUCUCUUCUACAGGGUAACCUCAAGAGAUUCAGGGGUAACAGCCUGGUAUUAAGCCACCACUACCUCUGCCACCAUGAUGGCAAAAUAACGCCACUGUUCUGUGAAAAGUACAUUUAAUUUAAACUAACUCCCAUAUGGCUUAGCUGACAUGACCAAAGAAAUAUGCACUUUGUGCCAAACGGUGUGCUUGAGGUCACCAGCAGUGCCCCAGAACUCCUGAAAAGUGCAAAUUCUGUUACAUUAAAUGGGGAUCAUUGGAUGUCAAUAUUGUAAUCAAUAUUAUCUCUGAAUAACGGCUCAUCAUAUAGACACUGAUUGGAUAUUUUGUACAUGCUCUCCUGCAAAUUUCUUAAUGUGCGAGAGUGUUAUGCUAAAAAAAAUUAACACUGUAUUUCACAGAGCCAUACAUUUUAAAACUAUAUACUGUUUAUGCAGAGUACAUAGACAGACCUUGACUACAUAGAAUUGUGAGGACCUGAUUCACAAAAGGAUUAUCUGGCUUUUGCACCUGCUAAAGGUGUGCUAAUGAGCCAAAAAGACAAUCUAUAAUUCACAAAGCACAUGCAAAUGGUUAAAUGCUCAACAAGCUGCACUGCCUAUUAUUUUGGAGCAAAAUAUGCCCCUUUAUAUUAAAACAAGCCUCAUUUCAAAUGAACCAACACUGGCCCUGGAGUGAAAUAUUUACCAUCUGCUUAGAUCAGUGCAUACGCAAGAGCAUGGCUGUGUUGCACCUGCAAAUAGUGCAAAAAUAAAGGGCUUCCUGAUGGCAAAGUAAAGUGCUUAAAAAAUUCACAGUAGAGCGUACACCUAAACCAGGAUGAGUGCUUGGGUUGGAGUGUCUCAGAAUUAGCUAAAUUACGUGGCAGAUUCGGCCCCAUCUGCAGAUAAUUGCAGCCUAGCUUGCGUGCUGUCUCUUCUGGCAAUUUCUCAUGACAGGGGCCGAGCUGACUGGGAUCCAUUGUUGCUAGUUCAAUUAGUAAUGAUAUGUAACUCAUAUAACCCCACUUCAAAAAACUGAAAUAUCCCUUUAAACUUAGGAGGACACAAUGUUUGGUCCCCAGAUUGAAGGUAAAUCUGUGCAGGAGAAGUGGGUCUCCAGCUUCAGGUCCCUACAAUGUUAUAUAAACAAGAACACAGGGAGUUGAAUUUGAUGGGUAAUUGAAAAAGUCAUAAAUGUUGUCUGUUUCCAAAAGGUUGAGUGAGUGUGAAGUGUAUGGCUGUCAUUAUAUUCCAUGGAAACAUUGUCCCUCAUCAUCCUAUCUAUAAAUAUUCUUUCUGCCAAUGACAAAAAACACAUCACGUGCAUCCCAGACCAGCUGACAGAAACGUGCAAUUUGCAGCCAUGUGUCGCACAUUUUGACAUGACUUUCUGGUGCAUCGCAAACACAUGCUGACAGUGCUUGCACCACAGACUUUCUUUGAAGUGAAAUAUAUCAUUGUUUACUGCACAUGAGUUCCAUUUUUUGCAUCUGUUUGGGUGAAAAUUUGUGUGUAAGUGUGUUUCCUCGAGUCAGUUUUGGUCUUGGUCAGCCAAAACUCUCAGCCAGAACUGGGCCUCAAGGACAAGGAGCGUGUGUGUUUGUGCAAGGCGCACACAUGUCUGCUUUCACGUGCAUGUGUGUACUCCAACAUCCACACCCACCUAUGCAGUUGAUUAUAUCACACAUGUCAUUACACGAGACAGGAAAUGAUGCCAGAGGAGGUGUGUCUCCUAAGGAAGUCCCUCUGCAGAGCUUUUCAGUGGAACCCCGGCUUUGAUCACGCCAGUAUCCAUAAAACACAGAUGAGAAAGAACUGCCCUCUUGUGAAAAUGAAAUAAAAACGUUUGAGAUAUAAACA